rnacentral:rRNA from 1 species
GAUGAACGCUGGCGGCGUGCCUAAUACAUGCAAGUCGAGCGAACAGACGAGGAGCUUGCUCCUCUGACGUUAGCGGCGGACGGGUGAGUAACACGUGGAUAACCUACCUAUAAGACUGGGAUAACUUCGGGAAACCGGAGCUAAUACCGGAUAAUAUAUUGAACCGCAUGGUUCAAUAGUGAAAGACGGUUUUGCUGUCACUUAUAGAUGGAUCCGCGCCGCAUUAGCUAGUUGGUAAGGUAACGGCUUACCAAGGCAACGAUGCGUAGCCGACCUGAGAGGGUGAUCGGCCUCACUGGAACUGAGACACGGUCCAGACUCCUACGGGAGGCAGCAGUAGGGAAUCUUCCGCAAUGGGCGAAAGCCUGACGGAGCAACGCCGCGUGAGUGAUGAAGGUCUUCGGACCGUAAAACUCUGUUAUUAGGGAAGAACAAAUGUGUAAGUAACUAUGCACGUCUUGACGGUACCUAAUCAGAAAGCCACGGCUAACUACGUG